rnacentral:misc_RNA from 1 species
GACGAGGAUGUGGUUCAGAUAGUAAAGAAAAAGGAGAAGGAAGAUGGGGCAGCGAGGGGUCGGUUCAAGUCUCAUUCAAAUGCACCUGCAAGGAUUUCCGACAGAGAGAAGAAGGCUCCUCUGAAGACCUGAUUGAUUAUUUAAUCUAUUAUGUUUUCAAAGUACCAAAUGUUUGGUUGUGUUUCUUAUCCUAAAUCAGAAAGAAACUCGUGUUUAAGAUGCAAGAUGUAUUAUUUUUUUUGUUAUGUA